rnacentral:rasiRNA from 1 species
GAGAAAACUAUUCCUGACCGGUACCC